UGCAAGUCGAACGAUGAACCGCUUUCGGGCGGGGAUUAGUGGCGAACGGGUGAGUAACACGUGGGCAAUCUGCCCUGCACUCUGGGACAAGCCCUGGAAACGGGGUCUAAUACCGGAUAUGACUGUCCAUCGCAUGGUGGAUGGUGUAAAGCUCCGGCGGUGCAGGAUGAGCCCGCGGCCUAUCAGCUUGUUGGUGAGGUAGUGGCUCACCAAGGCGACGACGGGUAGCCGGCCUGAGAGGGCGACCGGCCACACUGGGACUGAGACACGGCCCAGACUCCUACGGGAGGCAGCAGUGGGGAAUAUUGCACAAUGGGCGAAAGCCUGAUGCAGCGACGCCGCGUGAGGGAUGACGGCCUUCGGGUUGUAAACCUCUUUCAGCAGGGAAGAAGCGAAAGUGACGGUACCUGCAGAAGAAGCGCCGGCUAACUACGUGCCAGCAGCCGCGGUAAUACGUAGGGCGCAAGCGUUGUCCGGAAUUAUUGGGCGUAAAGAGCUCGUAGGCGGCUUGUCACGUCGGUUGUGAAAGCCCGGGGCUUAACCCCGGGUCUGCAGUCGAUACGGGCAGGCUAGAGUUCGGUAGGGGAGAUCGGAAUUCCUGGUGUAGCGGUGAAAUG
rnacentral:rRNA from 1 species